UUUUGAAAAAUGAUUAUACAGUCGGUAUAAUAACUGCAUAUUAUUUAUUUGACAACAAUGCUUACUUUCAAGAUGUUUUUCACAACAUCAAAGCAAAGGGGAAAAAUAGGGAUGACCCGAAUUUGUUUAUAUUCAUCCGAGGAAAAGCUGUGGACUUUUUUGCACUUAUUUUAGAAGGCCGAGUAAAAGUAACAAUUAGAAAGGAAGGUCUCUUGUUUGAAAGUGGAUUUUGGAACUCAAGCAUUGGUUCAAAAUGUAGUCAUAGAUUCACCUACACAAAUGGGGUCACUGCAGUCCUUAAACAUGGAUUCAAAAAUUCGACAAACUUUUGUGCCUGAUUACUCUGUACGUGCUACAUCUGAUGUUAUUUAUAUAGCAAUUAAACGUAGUUUGUACCUGACUGCUAAGAAAGCUACAUUGUUGGAAAAGAGCCGUAACUCGGGGACAUUCUCAAAUGAGACAUUUGACGAUGAAGUGGAACGUUUACUCCAUUUAAUAACUGAAGAUGAAAAACCACGAUUCCUAACAGCCAGUCAAAGUGCAAGACGCCUUUCUAAGCCGAAUCGAAGUAUAACAUCGUCGCCGACUAACAAUGACAUAUCGUUUAAAGAAAAAAGCACUGGCAGUCAAAUUCAUGGCGAACAGAGAAUUGUUAAUGCAGAGCACACAGAAAAUGCCUCUAUAAGUAGUUUGUUAACUUCUGAAGUUGGAGGUGAUUUUCAAAGUGAAGAGCACGAUGACAAGAACAACCCAGCAUCUGUGCCGCUUCUAUCGCAACCAAAUCAUAAAAUAGAGACCCGGCAAAAUUAGCAUCAAUAACGAUACCGUACUAAUGUUAAGAAAUUCUUGCAGAAACUUAAAUUCUUCGUUUCUAUUGCAUCACUGUAUUGCCAUGUUUAAACCAGCUUAUUUUCUUGUUAUUUAAAUACUAUUCGUUUGAUUUGUGUUAUACGCAUUUUUAAGAGUAUAAUUUAUUGUUUCUUGAGGUUGAAUCUGUUUGUUACUAAGAUUGCAAUGAGAAAGAAAUCAUUGAACUAGAGUUUUGAACCAAUUAACGUUAUUCCUAGAUAUCCAAAAGUGUAGAUUUUGUUGUUCAUUGUGUUAUGAAAUUAUAUACUUACAUGCUUACAUUAUAAAUACAUUACCUCAUGAAAUACGUACUUAAGACGAAAAUGUAGCAGCGCCUUUAAAUAUAUUUCUCUACCACACUAAA